rnacentral:rRNA from 1 species
UGGGGAAUAUUGCACAAUGGGGGAAACCCUGAUGCAGCGACGCCGCGUGAAGGAAGAAGUAUCUCGGUAUGUAAACUUCUAUCAGCAGGGAAGAAAAUGACGGUACCUGACUAAGAAGCCCCGGCUAACUACGUGCCAGCAGCCGCGGUAAUACGUAGGGGGCAAGCGUUAUCCGGAUUUACUGGGUGUAAAGGGAGCGUAGACGGAAGAGCAAGUCUGAUGUGAAAGCCCGGGGCUUAACCCCGGGACUGCAUUGGAAACUGUUUUUCUAGAGUGCCGGAGAGGUAAGCGGAAUUCCUAGUGUAGCGGUGAAAUGCGUAGAUAUUAGGAGGAACACCAGUGGCGAAGGCGGCUUACUGGACGGUAACUGACGUUGAGGCUCGAAAGCGUGGGGAGCAAACAG